rnacentral:rRNA from 1 species
UGGGGAAUUUUCCGCAAUGGGCGCAAGCCUGACGGAGCAAUACCGCGUGAGGGAGGAAGGCUCUUGGGUCGUAAACCUCUUUUCUCAGGGAAGAACACAAUGACGGUACCUGAGGAAUAAGCAUCGGCUAACUCCGUGCCAGCAGCCGCGGUAAUACGGAGGAUGCAAGCGUUAUCCGGAAUGAUUGGGCGUAAAGCGUCCGUAGGUGGUUUUGUAAGUCUGUGGUUAAAGCGUGGAGCUCAACUCCAUAAGGGCCAUGGAAACUACAAGACUAGAGUGAAGUAGGGGUAGAGGGAAUUCCCAGUGUAGCGGUGAAAUGCGUAGAGAUUGGGAAGAACACCGGUGGCGAAAGCGCUCUACUGGACUUAUACUGACACUGAGGGACGAAAGCUAGGGGAGCGAAAGGGAUUAGAUACCCCUGUAGUC